CCAAUUACCAGAAAGCAUAACCCCAAACCAAACAUCAUCUUCUGCUCAUCACAAGAAAUUGAUCUCUGUAAACCAUGCCCAUGCCGGAUUCCAGAGCUUCACCAAACUUUCUUUCAAUUCAUCUCCCACAGGUAGCCUGCCGCUUUUUUAUAACGGGUUUCGCGGAGAGCUCAGUCGAAGGGGCAUCUGGAAGGUUAACGGCGAUGCAUUGUGCAACAACGCAGAUGAAUUCAGCCUAGCAGUUCCGUUGUGGAAAUUUGCGCGCAAGCCUCGGGGAUGAUUCUUCGAAGCCAUUACAUCUUUCUUGAUGACGGGUGCGAGGAGACGAGGAGUCAGGGGGAAGAUGAGGAGAGUGAUGAGUAUGAAGAAGCGAAUGAGGAAUGGAAAGCGUUUGAACUAUUGAAGACCCAUGUAUUUGCUUCUUCAAUUUGGGUUUUGUGUUUUGAGUAGCACUGUAAAUAAUUCUGGGUUUUCAUGCAUUGUUCUUGAACAUUUUAGCAGACUUGUGUUCUUAGAGUGAAUAUAGACUGUGAUGGGUGAUUGGGUGCAAGCAGAAAGUGAACAAGAAAUUGCAGAAGAUUGAAGCAACAAAGCAGAUCCGGUGACGAAGGGAUGGGGAAGAAGAAAAAGAGAUGCAAAAAGACUAAAAUACCCUCACUAUUUUAACUCUUACAAUUUUUCGAUCACAUUUGGCCGGAAAUUUGACCGGCGUGACCAAAAUUGAUAAAAAAAUGCAUAAUCAAGGUAGCACAUGGAGUGUUGAAAUAAUAGUUGCUAUAAGAUCGCAUCUCAUCUUUGUCCUGCAAUGAACCACCUCUACGGAUACAAGAGAAAUCGACGACUAAAGGAGAUGAAGAAAAUCAUAAACUCGAAAAAAGUGAUUAGACGAAAAUGCGCUUGCUGAAACGGAUUUUCAUUGAAAGCUUCACCGGAAUGACCAAAAGUGUCUAAAAUAUAAUAGUCUAGAGUUUUAAAUGGUAAAAAUGAUAGCAUGAGACUAAAUAUGAAAAAUGCCACAAAAGAUAAUGGAUGGCCGUUAAAAUGAACUCUUUCCACAAAAAAUGCCCCGAUGGCCGCCUAGGCGCGA